rnacentral:rRNA from 1 species
CCUACGGGUGACAGCAGUGAGGAAUAUUGGUCAAUGGGCGGGAGCCUGAACCAGCCAAGUCGCGUGAGGGACGACGGUCCUAUGGAUUGUAAACCUCUUUUGUCGGGGAACAAAGGCGCCCACGGGUGGGCGGAUGAGUGUACCCGAAGAAAAAGCAUCGGCUAACUCCGUGCCAGCAGCCGCGGUAAUACGGAGGAUGCGAGCGUUAUCCGGAUUUAUGGGGUUGAAAGGGUGCGUAGGCGGACAGUCAAGUCAGCGGGAAAAAUGCGGUGCUCAACGCCGUACAGCCGUUGAAACUGGCAGUCUUGAGUGGUCGAGAGGUAUGCGGAAUGCGUGGUGUAGCGGUGAAAUGCGUAGAGAUCCCGCAGAACUCCGAUGGCGAAGGCGGCAUACCGGCGCCAUACUGACGCUGAGGCGCGAAAGCGUGGGUAGCAAACAGGAUUAGAUACCCUGGUAGUC